rnacentral:rRNA from 1 species
UACGGAAGGCAGCAGUGGGGAAUUUUGGACAAUGGGCGCAAGCCUGAUCCAGCCAUGCCGCGUGCGGGAAGAAGGCCUUCGGGUUGUAAACCGCUUUUGUCAGGGAAGAAAAGGUUCUGGCUAAUACCUGGGACUCAUGACGGUACCUGAAGAAUAAGCACCGGCUAACUACGUGCCAGCAGCCGCGGUAAUACGUAGGGUGCAAGCGUUAAUCGGAAUUACUGGGCGUAAAGCGUGCGCAGGCGGUUAUGCAAGACAGAGGUGAAAUCCCCGGGCUCAACCUGGGAACUGCCUUUGUGACUGCAUGGCUAGAGUACGGUAGAGGGGGAUGGAAUUCCGCGUGUAGCAGUGAAAUGCGUAGAUAUGCGGAGGAACACCGGAUGGCGAAGGCAAUCCCCUGGGACCUGUACUGACGCUCAUGCACGAAAGCGUGGGGAGCAAACAGGAUUAGGAAUAACC